ACGUGAUCCAGGCUUCGGUCCGGUGAAAUUGGCAGACGGGUGAGUAACGCGUGGGAACCUGCCCUGUGGUAGGGAAUAACCGCGGGAAACUGCGGCUAAUACCCUAUGAGUCCUUCGGGAGAAAGAUUUAUCGCCAUAGGAGGGGCCCGCGUCGGAUUAGGUAGUUGGUGGGGUAACGGCCUACCAAGCCUUCGAUCCGUAGCUGGUCUGAGAGGAUGAUCAGCCACACUGGGACGUGAGAUACAGCCCAGACUCCUACGGGAGGCAGCAGUGGGGAAUAUUGGACAAUGGGGGCAACCCUGAUCCAGCAAUGCCGCGUGGGUGAUGAAGGCCUUCGGGUUGUAAAGCCCUUUCGGCGGGGAAGAUGAUGACGGUACCCGCAGAAGAAGCCCCGGCUAACUUCGUGCCAGCAGCCGCGGUAAUACGAAGGGGGCUAGCGUUGCUCGGAAUUACUGGGCGUAAAGGGCGCGUAGGCUGUGCUGUAAGUCAGGCG
rnacentral:rRNA from 1 species